rnacentral:rRNA from 1 species
ACGGAAGGCAGCAGUGGGGAAUAUUGGACAAUGGGGGAAACCCUGAUCCAGCGACGCCGCGUGAGUGAAGAAGUAUUUCGGUAUGUAAAGCUCUAUCAGCAAGGAAGAAAAUGACGGUACUUGACUAAGAAGCACCGGCUAAAUACGUGCCAGCAGCCGCGGUAAUACGUAUGGUGCAAGCGUUAUCCGGAUUUACUGGGUGUAAAGGGAGCGUAGACGGCAUGGCAAGUCUGAAGUGAAAGCUCGGGGCUCAACCCCGGAACUGCUUUGGAAACUGUCGCGCUAGAGUGCAGGAGAGGUAAGUGGAAUUCCUAGUGUAGCGGUGAAAUGCGUAGAUAUUAGGAGGAACAUCAGUGGCGAAGGCGGCUUACUGGGCUUUAACUGACGCUGAGGCUCGAAAGCGUGGGGAGCAAACAGGAUUAGAUACCCUGGUA